rnacentral:rRNA from 1 species
AGCGAACGCUGGCGGCAGGCUUAACACAUGCAAGUCGAGCGGGCACUUUCGGGUGUCCGCGGCGGACGGGUGAGUAACGCGUGGGAACGUGCCCUCUGGUUCGGAAUAACUCAGGGAAACUUGAGCUAAUACCGGAUACGCCCUUUUGGGGAAAGGCUUGCUGCCGGAGGAUCGGCCCGCGUCUGAUUAGCUAGUUGGUGAGGUAACGGCUCACCAAGGCGACGAUCAGUAGCUGGUCUGAGAGGAUGAUCAGCCACACUGGGACUGAGACACGGCCCAGACUCCUAAGGGAGGCAGCGGUGGGGAAUAUUGGAAACUGCGCGCAAGCCUGAUCCAGCCAUGCCGCGUGAGUGAUGAAGGCCUUAGGGUUGUAAAGCUCUUUUAUCCGGGACGAUAAUGACGGUACCGGAGGAAUAAGCCCCGGCUAACUUCGUG